rnacentral:rRNA from 1 species
GACGAACGCUGGCGGCGCGCUUAACACAUGCAAGUCGAACGGAAAGGCCUGCUUUCCCUUGUGGAUUGCGGGUACUCGAGUGGCGAACGGGUGAGUAACACGUGAGUGAUCUGCCCCCAACUUGGGUAUAAGCCUGGGAAACUGGGUCUAAUUCCCGAUAGGACUACAGGGUGGUGCCUGUGGUGGAAAACGAUUUUCUAGUGGUUGGGGAUGAGCUCGCGGCCUAUCAGCUUGUUGGUGGGGUAAUGGCCUACCAAGGCGGCGACGGGUAGCCGGCCUGGGAGGGUGGACGGCCACAUUGGGACUGAGAUACGGCCCAGACUCCUACGGGAGGCAGCAGUGGGGAAUAUUGCACAAUGGGCGGAAGCCUGAUGCAGCGACGCCGCGUGGGGGAUGACGGCCUUCGGGUUGUAAACUCCUUUCGACCGCGAGGAAGCCACCUGGUUGGAAGGGUGGUGACGGUAGUGGUAGAAGAAGCACCGGCUAACUACGUG